rnacentral:tRNA from 1 species
GUCCCUGUAGCGCAAUGGAUAGCACGUUGGACUUCUAAUCUAAAGGUCAUGGGUUCGAAUCCUACCUGGGAUA